rnacentral:lncRNA from 1 species
AGGGUUCUAAUAGGCUUUACUUCACAUGUAAUAUAACAUGGAUAAAUAAAAAUGGAUAAAAACUAGGCAUCUGUAAGGUUUUAAUAAGAUAUUUGAUGAAGGAAAAACAGUCUAGGAUUAGCUUUGACAUUUAAAAUCUACUUUAUUUAUUUAUGUCUUUUUAGGGCCGCACCCGCAGCAUACAGAGGUUCCCAGGCUAGGGGUCCAAUCAGAGCUGUGGCCACUGGCCUACGCCACAGCCACAGCCACGCCAUUCCAAGCUGAGUCUGUGACCUGCACCACAGCUCAUGGCAAUGCUGGACCCUUAACGCACUGAGGCCAGGGACUGAACCUGCAUCCUCAUGGAUGCUAGUCAGAUUGGUUUCUGCUGAGCCAUGAUGGGAAUGCCAAAAUUCACUUAAUUUAAAUAAGGCAGAUGACCAACUUCAAGCAACCUAUUUAUUCAGCAUAAAGAACCUUUGUUUAAACAUGUUUCUCAUCUUCUACAAGAAGCAAACGCAAGUCUAAAAAAGAACCAAAACAAAACUUUUGAUUGUUUGUAAAAUAUUCUAAUUCCUUAAGAUGCCAAGAACAAUCUGCUGAAAAUAAAUUUCACAAGGGGCAGGAUUUACCUCAAGGCCAUGUUCACCUGCAACCUGCUGAUAAAUCUGUCAAAAAACAAAACAAACAAAAAAAAGAUUUCUUUAAAAAUCAGACAAUUGUAGUCACAAUCCCUCACAUUGGACAGUUGAGAGAAAUCAAAAUCUGUUCUAUCCUUAGCUUUAUCUGUAUGACUUUAUAACUCUUGAGCAAGUUUUUAACAUAAUCUUUGGCUUCCCCACCCUUACAGGGAAAAGAGAAUAUGGAAAACAAUCAAAGAAUCCUAGUGUAAACUAAUCCAGGUUUAGUGAUUCAGAAUACUCAGAAUUUAAGUCACCCUUAUUAGAUGAGAUUGGAAGGUUGGUUAGAGACUGGAGUUAUAAAAUGAUACUAUUUCUGAUAAAAUGAAAUUGCCUUUUAUUUGGAAAAGUUUAUACUUAAUAAUUGACUUCCUGAUGGUUCAAACAACAAUAUGCAAUCACAUGUGCUUGGUCAUCAAUUUGCUCUUCUCGUCCUCCAAAAUUUGUUAAAUCACAAUUUUAUACGGCUCACACACUGACAGCUGCCCCUGGCACAAUUCACCAUGAUGUGACAUUCUGUAAAUGAGACCAUGUUGGUUUCUAUCUAAGGAGGUUUAGCUACCAGAAAACUUCCUAUAAAGACUGCACUACAGGAAAGGUCCUCUCCUCUGCUUUCAUCAACUGCCAAGUUCUAGUCACGGUCCCAUCAAUUAGAGUAAGAUGCUCAUGAGUUCAGUAUGUCUUUCUUUAUCCUCGCUCAUCUGUAAAUGUACUACUGCUACUUUCUACAGAAGACAAUGGAAAGUGUGUAAUUGCUGUUGGUAGAAAAGUAGGUCUUGAAUUCAUCUUGCAAACAAGACCUGUUCUAUCUACCUUUUCAUUUAGGAGGCUAAAAGCAGAAUCGGCUUGACUUCAAGGACUCUGUUUUCUUAGUCUCCAGAAGAACCUGACAAUCCAACUUUCAAAACACUGUCCUCUAGGAGCUUCCUGGGGGCAUAGCAGUGAAGGACCCAGUGUUGUCAAUGCUGUGGUGCGGGUCUGAUCCCUGACCUGGGAAUUUCCACAUGCCACAGGUGUGGCCAAAAAAUUUAAAAAAAAGAUAAAAUGCUGUCCUCUAGCAUGUGAAGAUAUUAAGGGAAUAGUAAUUUAUUGCUACUAUAAUUUCAAGUUUUAAGAGAUUUCAACUCUUACAUUUGUGUGCUUCACUGCAACCAAUGGGUAAUGAAUCUAAAUGCAAGAUAACAGUUUGUGAUGGAAAGAUCCCACCCAGUCAGUAUCUUUUCUGUCAGGAAGUCUCCUGGAAGGAGCAUAACAAUGAGCUGGGUACAAUGUCCCAAGUCAGAAAAAUGCCCCAAACUUUUCCAAAAUGAUACUCAACAGGGGCUAGUUCAUGUCUUACUACUUUACAGCUUGUUUUCUGCUAUUCCCCAAUUCCAGAAAAAAAUGAAGCCCAACCCACUAACUGAUUGCUUUUUCUUCAUUUCCCCAAACUUUGACAGGAUCAGGUUUUUCUGCUCUAUUUCCACCUCACUCAAAUCCUGGUGGAAUUAAACUAUCAUUUAUUUGAAUUAUGCAAAUUCAGCUAAACAGCUUACGGCUGAUUAAAACAACAUGCAGUCACCCAGACAUAGCCAAUAAAAAUGUUUUUGUAGUAGGAACUUGGACUCUAAUCUUGCUGUCUCCCCUGUGCUCAUUCCUUAACCUAAAUGCGGGUCCCUUCUUGAAAACAGCUUAAGAGAUGUCCUCAUAUUCAAACAGACUGGACUGGAGACAAGAAUAUAAUCCACUCGCUGGGUCAGCACCCAGCCAACAAAAUUGAGGCUUCCCAGUUAUGCAUUUAAACAAAGCAGGAACUUAGUUUUCAGGGAUGGGUUCACUGAGUAUAUACAUUAUUUCUUGGUAAAGCCAUCCUAUCAUUCUGCCACUCAGAAGGAUUUCUACCCUCUGACCUCCUUUCAUAUCCCAAAUACCACCCCAUUAAGGGGGAGGGGACAAUGAGAGAGAAGGAAAACAAGAGAAGCACUAUCCAAAAAUAAGAAGAGAGCUCUGGAAAAGACACUUGACAGUAUCUUUUACACAAAUUAUAAACCAGCCACAGAUUCCUAGGCACCUAGAAUGGACCUCCCCUUUCUGGUCCACCUAAGUAAUCCCUGUAUUGCUCAAAAGUCACUUCUUAGAAGCACUGCCUAAUUCUUCCCUCUCCCAGGUCAAGUGCCACACACUCACCUCCUUUAGAAUACUUAAGUGGCUAUACUGCCACCAUGACCUGUGCAACUCCACUUGGCUGUAAGCAAAUCAAAGGAAUUAUGCCUUCACAAUCUCAGAAUGCUCAGAACAUGGAAACCACAGUGUUCUCCUUUAAAAGAGCUCAUACACCUGAAAAGAAAAAGGAGACACAUAAUUGUCUUUCAAGUUAAAAGAAAAGCUUCUUUAAUAGAAAGUAGCUUUCGGAGUUCCUGUCGUGGCGCAGUGGUUAAUGAAUUCGACUAGAAACCAUGAGGUUGCGGGUUCGAUCCCUGGCCUUGCUCAGUGGGUUAAGGAUCUGGCGUUGCUGUGAGCUGUGGUGUAGGCCGGCGGCUACAGCUCUGAUUAGACCCCCAGUCUGCGAACCUCCAUAUGCCGCGAGAGCAGCUCAAGAAAAGGCAAAAAGACAAAAAUAAAUAAAUAAAUAAAAAUUUUUUUAAAAAUAAAAAGCGAAGGCAGUACGAUGUGAAGGAAAGAAUUUGGGGUUGGAAAUGAAGAAAUCUCAUUUCUAGUCCUGUUUCUGUCAAUAAUAAUCUGUUUAACUUUCAGCCUGUCUCCUCUCAGACACUGCGCUUAAGAGGAAAGGAGGGGUAUGACCUAUACAGCUCAGUUCCACCGUAAUACCAAAUGAACUUGCUGGCUGAUUCGGGAAACUUAUUACUAACUGAGGGUGUACUUUUUCCAAUUAAUGCAACACGAGCUGCUGCCUCAAGCCGUCUUAGAACGUCUGGGUUUGUACAGAACUUCACGUUACAUACCUCAUGCAACAAAGGGCAUUUCCCAUGUGAAAUUUCGCCUAUUGAAAUUUGUUCUUAAUCUUUUUGAGUGUGGACUUCUCCCUUCCACAUUUAUCCCUACGACAGCUCCAUGUGCAACCAAGCUCGUUUUUCACACGAAGUUGAGAAAGGUGAGCACAGUGUGUUUGAGCCCUUCCUCGCUGGUGGCCCUGGCCCGGCGACAGAUACCUCGACCCCUCACCUCUACUUCGGUUCCCCGCCGCAUCCUCUGAAGCCCUAUACUCCAGACUGACUGCCUAUAAGGACGCUGCUGUCACCUACCCUGCUGGGUGGCCGGAACUCGGCCUCACUUUACGCCGUGUAAACAACCUCCCCUACCGUCUCCGAUCUCGGUGGC